GGAGACGUGGCUGAGUGGUCGAAAGCGCCUCACUGCUAACGAGGUGUCCCGUCAAAAGGACCGUGGGUUCGAAUCCCACCGUCUCCG
rnacentral:tRNA from 1 species